UACGUAGGGCGCAAGCGUUGUCCGGAAUUAUUGGGCGUAAAGAGCUCGUAGGCGGCUUGUCGCGUCGGUUGUGAAAGCCCGGGGCUUAACCCCGGGUCUGCAGUCGAUACGGGCAGGCUAGAGUGUGGUAGGGGAGAUCGGAAUUCCUGGUGUAGCGGUGAAAUGCGCAGAUAUCAGGAGGAAGACCGGUGGCGAAGGCGGAUCUCUGGGCCAUUACUGACGCUGAGGAGCGAAAGCGUGGGGAGCGAACAGG
rnacentral:rRNA from 1 species